AUCCGGGUUGCGGACAGUGUCUGGUGGGUAGUUUGACUGGGGCGGUCUCCUCCCAAAGAGUAACGGAGGAGCACGAAGGUUAGCUAAUCCUGGUCGGACAUCAGGAGGUUAGUGCAAUGGCAUAAGCUAGCUUGACUGCGAGAGUGACGGCUCGAGCAGGUGCGAAAGCAGGUCAUAGUGAUCCGGUGGUUCUGAAUGGAAGGGCCAUCGCUCAACGGAUAAAAGGUACUCCGGGGAUAACAGGCUGAUACCGCCCAAGAGUUCAUAUCGACGGCGGUGUUUGGCACCUCGAUGUCGGCUCAUCACAUCCUGGGGCUGAAGUAGGUCCCAAGGGUAUGGCUGUUCGCCAUUUAAAGUGGUACGCGAGCUGGGUUUAGAACGUCGUGAGACAGUUCGGUCCCUAUCUGCCGUGGGCGCUGGAGAAUUGAGGGGGGCUGCUCCUAGUACGAGAGGACCGGAGUGGACGCAUCACUGGUGUUCGGGUUGUCAUGCCAAUGGCACUGCCCGGUAGCUAAAUGCGGAAGAGAUAAGUGCUGAAAGCAUCUAAGCACGAAACUUGCCCCGAGAUGAGUUCUCCCUGAGACUUUAAGUCUCCUGAAGGAACGUUGAAGACGACGACGUUGAUAGGCCGGGUGUGUAAGCGCAGCGAUGCGUUGAGCUAACCGGUACUAAUGAACCGUGAGGCUUAACCUUACAACGCCGAAG
rnacentral:rRNA from 1 species